UACGUAGGGGGCAAGCGUUAUCCGGAAUUAUUGGGCGUAAAGCGUCCGUAGGUGGUUUAGUAAGUCUGCUGUUAAAGCGCGGGGCUUAACUCCGUAUCGGCAGUGGAAACUACUAGACUAGAGUGUGGUAGGGGUAGAGGGAAUUCCCAGUGUAGCGGUGAAAUGCGUAGAUAUUGGGAAGAACACCGGUGGCGAAGGCGCUCUACUGGGCCAUAACUGACACUGAUGGACGAAAGCUAGGGGAGCGAAAGGG
rnacentral:rRNA from 1 species